AGCGAACGCUGGCGGCAGGCCUAACACAUGCAAGUCGAGCGGGCGUAGCAAUACGUCAGCGGCAGACGGGAGAGUAACACGUGGGAACGCGCCCUUUGGUUCGGAAUAACUCAGGGAAACUCGAGCUAAUACCGGAUAAGCCCUUCGGGGGAAAGAUUUAUUGCCAUUGGAGCGGCCCGCGUCGGAUUAGCUAGUUGGUGAGGUAAUGGCUCACCAAGGCGACGAUCCGUAGCUGGUCUGAGAGGAUGACCAGCCUCACUGGGACUGAGACACGGCCCAGACUCCUACGGGAGGCAGCAGUGGGGAAUAUUGGACAAUGGGCGCAAGCCUGAUCCAGCCAUGCCGCGUGGAUGAUGAAGGCCCUAGGGUUGUAAAGUCCUUUUAACGGGGAAGAUAAUGACGGUACCCGUAGAAUAAGCCCCGGCUAACUUCGUGCCAGCCGCCGCCGUAA
rnacentral:rRNA from 1 species